UUAAGCGACUAAGCGUACACGGUGGAUGCCCUGGCAGUCAGAGGCGAUGAAGGACGUGCUAAUCUGCGAAAAGCGUCGGUAAGGUGAUAUGAACCGUUACAACCGGCGAUGUCCGAAUGGGGAAACCCAGUGCAAUUCGUUGCACUAUCGUUAACUGAAUACAUAGGUUAACGAGGCGAACCGGGGGAACUGAAACAUCUAAGUACCCCGAGGAAAAGAAAUCAACCGAGAUUCCCCCAGUAGCGGCGAGCGAACGGGGAGCAGCCCGGAGUCUGAAUCAGCUUGUGUGUUAGUGGAAGCGUCUGGAAAGUCGCAGGGUACAGGGUGAUACUCCCGUACACUAAAACACACAGGCUGUGAACUCGAAGAGUAGGGCGGGACACGUGGUAUCCUGUCUGAAUAUGGGGGGACCAUCCUCCAAGGCUAAAUACUCCUGACUGACCGAUAGUGAACCAGUACCGUGAGGGAAAGGCGAAAAGAACCCCGGCGAGGGGAGUGAAAAAGAACCUGAAACCGUGUACGUACAAGCAGUAGGAGCCCACUAGUUGGGUGACUGCGUACCUUUUGUAUAAUGGGUCAGCGACUUAUAUUCUGUAGCAAGGUUAACCGAAUAGGGGAGCCGCAGGGAAACCGAGUCUUAACUGGGCGUUAAGUUGCAGGGUAUAGACCCGAAACCCGGUGAUCUAGCCAUGGGCAGGUUGAAGGUUGGGUAACACUAACUGGAGGACCGAACCGACUAAUGUUGAAAAAUUAGCGGAUGACUUGUGGCUGGGGGUGAAAGGCCAAUCAAACCGGGAGAUAGCUGGUUCUCCCCGAAAGCUAUUUAGGUAGCGCCUCGUGAACUCAUCUUCGGGGGUAGAGCACUGUUUCGGCUAGGGGGUCAUCCCGACUUACCAACCCGAUGCAAACUACGAAUACCGAAGAAUGUUAUCACGGGAGACACACGGCGGGUGCUAACGUCCGUCGUGAAGAGGGAAACAACCCAGACCGCCAGCUAAGGUCCCAAAGUCAUGGUUAAGUGGGAAACGAUGUGGGAAGGCCCAGACAGCCAGGAUGUUGGCUUAGAAGCAGCCAUCAUUUAAAGAAAGCGUAAUAGCUCACUGGUCGAGUCGGCCUGCGCGGAAGAUGUAACGGGGCUAAACCAUGCACCGAAGCUGCGGCAGCGACGCUUAUGCGUUGUUGGGUAGGGGAGCGUUCUGUAAGCCGUUGAAGGUGGCCUGUGAGGGUUGCUGGAGGUAUCAGAAGUGCGAAUGCUGACAUAAGUAACGAUAAUGCGGGUGAAAAACCCGCACGCCGGAAGACCAAGGGUUCCUGUCCAACGUUAAUCGGGGCAGGGUGAGUCGACCCCUAAGGCGAGGCCGAAAGGCGUAGUCGAUGGGAAACAGGUUAAUAUUCCUGUACUUGGUGUUACUGCGAAGGGGGGACGGAGAAGGCUAUGUUGGCCGGGCGACGGUUGUCCCGGUUUAAGCAUGUAGGCGGAUGUUCCAGGUAAAUCCGGAACGUCACUAACGCUGAGGUGUGAUGACGAGGCACUACGGUGCUGAAGUGACAAAUGCCCUGCUUCCAGGAAAAGCCUCUAAGCAUCAGGUAACAUCAAAUCGUACCCCAAACCGACACAGGUGGUCAGGUAGAGAAUACCAAGGCGCUUGAGAGAACUCGGGUGAAGGAACUAGGCAAAAUGGUGCCGUAACUUCGGGAGAAGGCACGCUGAUGGUAGGUGAAGCGACUUGCUCGUGGAGCUGAAAUCAGUCGAAGAUACCAGCUGGCUGCAACUGUUUAUUAAAAACACAGCACUGUGCAAACACGAAAGUGGACGUAUACGGUGUGACGCCUGCCCGGUGCCGGAAGGUUAAUUGAUGGGGUUAUCCUCACGGAGAAGCUCUUGAUCGAAGCCCCGGUAAACGGCGGCCGUAACUAUAACGGUCCUAAGGUAGCGAAAUUCCUUGUCGGGUAAGUUCCGACCUGCACGAAUGGCGUAAUGAUGGCCAGGCUGUCUCCACCCGAGACUCAGUGAAAUUGAACUCGCUGUGAAGAUGCAGUGUACCCGCGGCAAGACGGAAAGACCCCGUGAACCUUUACUAUAGCUUGACACUGAACACUGGUCCUUGAUGUGUAGGAUAGGUGGGAGGCUUUGAAGUGUGGACGCCAGUCUGCAUGGAGCCAUCCUUGAAAUACCACCCUUUAAUGGCUGGGGUUCUAACGUGGGCCCGUAAUCCGGGUUGCGGACAGUGUCUGGUGGGUAGUUUGACUGGGGCGGUCUCCUCCUAAAGAGUAACGGAGGAGCACGAAGGUCAGCUAAUCCUGGUCGGACAUCAGGAGGUUAGUGCAAUGGCAUAAGCUGGCUUGACUGCGAGCGUGACGGCGCGAGCAGGUGCGAAAGCAGGUCAUAGUGAUCCGGUGGUUCUGAAUGGAAGGGCCAUCGCUCAACGGAUAAAAGGUACUCCGGGGAUAACAGGCUGAUACCGCCCAAGAGUUCAUAUCGACGGCGGUGUUUGGCACCUCGAUGUCGGCUCAUCACAUCCUGGGGCUGAAGUAGGUCCCAAGGGUAUGGCUGUUCGCCAUUUAAAGUGGUACGCGAGCUGGGUUUAGAACGUCGUGAGACAGUUCGGUCCCUAUCUGCCGUGGGCGCUGGAGAAUUGAGGGGGGCUGCUCCUAGUACGAGAGGACCGGAGUGGACGCAUCACUGGUGUUCGGGUUGUCAUGCCAAUGGCAUUGCCCGGUAGCUAAAUGCGGAAGAGAUAAGUGCUGAAAGCAUCUAAGCACGAAACUUGCCCCGAGAUGAGUUCUCCCUGACCCCUUAAGAGUCCUGAAGGAACGUUGAAGACGACGACGUUGAUAGGCCGGGUGUGUAAGCGCAGCGAUGCGUUGAGCUAACCGGUACUAAUGAACCGUGAGGCUUAACCUU
rnacentral:rRNA from 1 species